GAUGAAGAACGUAGCGAAAUGCGAUAAGUAAUGCGAAUUGCAGAAUUCAGUGAGUCAUCGAAUCUUUGAACGCACAUUGCGCCCUGUGGUAUUCCGCAGGGCAUGCCUGUUCGAGCGUCAUUUCAACCCUCAAGCUCUGCUUGGUGUUGGGCCCUGCCCGCUGCGGCCGGCCCUAAAGACAGUGGCGGUGCCGCCUGGCCCUGAGCGUAGUACAUCUCUCGCUCCAGUGCCCGGUGGUAGCCUGCCAGAACCCCAACUCUCGUGGUUGACCUCGGAUCAGGUAGGGAUACCCGCUGAACUUAAGCAUAUCAAAAGCGGAGGA
rnacentral:misc_RNA from 1 species